rnacentral:rRNA from 1 species
AGCUCCAAUAGCGUAUAUUUAAGUUGUGCAGUUAAAAAAGCUCGUAGUUGGAUUUCGGUUGAGAGCGGCCGGUCCGCCGUUUGGUGUGCACUGGCUGGUUUCAACUCCUGCGGAGGACGCGCUCUGGGCUUAACGGUCUGGACGUGGAGUCCGCGUGGUUACUUUGAAAAAAUUAGAGUGUUCAAAGCGGGCUUACGCUU